GAUGAACGCUGGCGGCGUGCCUAAUACAUGCAAGUCGAGCGAACGGACGAGAAGCUUGCUUCUCUGAUGUUAGCGGCGGACGGGUGAGUAACACGUGGAUAACCUACCUAUAAGACUGGGAUAACUUCGGGAAACCGUAGCUAAUACCGGAUAAUAUUUUGAACCGCAUGGUUCAAAAGUGAAAGACGGUCUUGCUGUCACUUCUAGAUGGAUCCGCGCUGCAUUAGCUAGUUGGUAAGGUAACGGCUUACCAAGGCAACGAUGCAUAGCCGACCUGAGAGGGGGAUCGGACACACUGGAACUGAGACACGGUCCAGACUCCUACGGGAGGCAGCAGUAGGGAAUCUUCCGCAAUGGGCGAAAGCCUGACGGAGCAACGCCGCGUGAGUGAUGAAGGUCUUCGGAUCGUAAAACUCUGUUAUUAGGGAAGAACAGAUGUGUAAGUAACUGUGCACAUCUUGACGGUACCUAAUCAGAAAGCCACGGCUAACUACGUG
rnacentral:rRNA from 1 species